ACGAACGCUGGCGGCUGCUUAACACAUGCAAGUCGAACGGAGUGGCGAACGGGUGAGUAACGCGUGAGCAACCUGCCUAUGACAGUGGGAUAGCCUCGGGAAACCGGGAUUAAUACCGCAUAGUCAUAGAUGGGCUCGCGUCUGCUUAGCUAGUUGGUGAGAUAACAGCCCACCAAGGCAACGAUCAGUAGCCGGUCUGAGGGGAGGAACGGGAACAUUGGAACUGAGACAAGGGCCCAAAGCCUACGGGAGGCAGCAGUGGGGAAUAUUGCACAAUGGGGGAAACCCUGAUGCAGCGACGCGGCGUGAACGAAGAAGGUAGUCGUAUCGUAAAGUUCUGUCCUAUGGGAAGCAGUAUCAUAGAAGAAAGCUCCGGCUAAAUACGUGCCAGCCGCCGCGGUAAUAC
rnacentral:rRNA from 1 species